rnacentral:rRNA from 1 species
UACGUAGGGUCCGAGCGUUGUCCGGAAUUAUUGGGCGUAAAGGGCUCGUAGGCGGUUCGUCACGUCGGGAGUGAAAACUCGGAGCUCAACUCCGAGCCUGCUUCCGAUACGGGCAGACUAGAGGUAGGCAGGGGAGAGCGGAACUCCUGGUGUAGCGGUGGAAUGCGCAGAGUAUCAGGAAGAACACCGGUGGCGAAGGCGGCUCUCUGGGCCUUACCUGACGCUGAGGAGCGAAGCGUGGGUAGCGAACAGG